UACGUAGGGGGCAAGCGUUGUCCGGAAUCAUUGGGCGUAAAGCGCGUGUAGGCGGCCCGGUAAGUCCGCUGUAAAAGUCCAGGGCUCAACCCUGGAAAGCCGGUGGAUACUGUCGGGCUCGAGUCCGGAAGAGGCGAGUGGAAUUCCUGGUGUAGCGGUGAAAUGCGCAGAUAUCAGGAGGAACACCGAUGGCGAAGGCAGCUCGCUGGGACGGUGACUGACGCUGAGACGCGAAAGCGUGGGGAGCAAACAGG
rnacentral:rRNA from 1 species